rnacentral:sRNA from 1 species
GCUGGGUAUAGUGGCCCAUGCCUGUAAUCCCAGCACCUUGGGAAGCUGAAGCGGGAGGAUCAUGAGUUCAAAGCCAGCCUCGGCAAUAUAGUGAGACCCUA